UACAGAGGGUGCAAGCGUUGUUCGGAAUUACUGGGCGUAAAGCGUGCGUAGUCGGUAUUGAGAGUCGCGGGUGAAAUCCCAGGGCUUAACCCUGGAACUGCCUGCGAGACCUCAGUACUAGAGUGUGAGAGGGGAUAGUGGAAUACCCAGUGUAGCGGUGAAAUGCGUAGAGAUUGGGUGGAACACCGGUGGCGAAGGCGGCUAUCUGGCUCACAACUGACGAUCAGGCACGAAAGCGUGGGGAUCAAACAGG
rnacentral:rRNA from 1 species